AAUACCGGAUAAGAAAGCAGAUCGCAUGAUCAGUCUUUUAAAAGGCGGCGUAAAGCUGUCGCUAGUGGGAUGGCCCCCGCGGUGCAUUUAGCUAGUUGGUAAGGUAAAGGCUUACCAAGGCGAUGAUGCAUAGCCCGAGUUGAGAGACUGAUCGGCCACAUUGGGACUGAGACACGGCCCAAACUCCUACGGGGAGGCAGCAGUAGGGAAUCUUCCACAAUGGACGCAAGUCUGAUGGAGCAACGCCGCGUGAGUGAAGAAGGUUUUCGGAUCGUAAAAGCUCUGUUGUUGGUGAAGAAGGAUAGAGGUAGUAACUGGCCUUUAUUUGACGGUAAUCAACCAGAAAGUCACGGCUAACUACGUGCCAGCAGCCGCGGUAAU
rnacentral:rRNA from 1 species